rnacentral:misc_RNA from 1 species
GAUGAAGAACGCAGCGAAAUGCGAUAAGUAAUGUGAAUUGCAGAAUUCAGUGAAUCAUCGAAUCUUUGAACGCACAUUGCGCCCGCCAGUAUUCUGGCGGGCAUGCCUGUUCGAGCGUCAUUUCAACCAUCAAGCCCCGGGCUUGUGUUGGGGACCUGCGGCUGCCGCAGACCCUGAAAAGCAGUGGCGGGCUCGCUGUCACACCGAGCGUAGUAGCAUACAUCUCGCUCUGGGCGUGCUGCGGGUUCCGGCCGUUAAACCACCUUUUAACCCAAGGUUGACCUCGGAUCAGGUAGGAAGACCCGCUGAACUUAAGCAUAUCAAUAAGCGGAGGA